AGGAGGGACUGGGAGGCCCACAGCUGUCCCGUGGGAAAGCUCUGUAGGGACGGGCAGGAGUGAACAUGUUGUGUUUUGUGGUCUACAAACAGGCUCUAUUUCCUCUCUGCCUCUUCCUCCUGCUUUUUCUUCCACUUCUUUUUUAACAUUUGUUUUUAAAUGUAAAGUAGUUUUUAGCUCACAGGUCAUACAAAAGCUGGCAAACGGCUGGCUUCGAACCGUGGCUGGCUUCGAACCAUCCUGGCUUCGAACCGUGGCUGCCAUGUGCCUUCCGCUGCUCUACUCGCCUGAGGUUGACCCUGGUAAGCGGUUGCCGCCUGCAGACACAGCGCAUGCGAGGGAGGGUGCAGGCCGAGACUCCGCCCCGAAGGGCGCAGGCGUGCCCGAGAGAUGAGAGCGUUGAGGAAACGGAAAUCCAGGGCACACGUGAAAACGCCCCGGACUGUGGCUGCGCCGCCUACCCACACACAGACGGGCGGCAGAGGAAGAAAGCCUUGUCACACUGAAGGAGAGACAGCGGAUGUUCUGAACAGUCCUGUCAUGAAACGUUAGACAACGUGGACCAAACAGGCACAUUCCUAAGAAUCACACAUUACUGAAACUCAGUCAAGAAGAAAUAGAAAAUCUGAAUACAUCCAUGGCAAGCACAGAAACUGAACUAGGGAAUUCGAAAUCUUCCCACAAAGAAAAGCCUAGGCCCAACUGGCCUCUAUGAUACAGCAAGAAGGUGCCAUCUAUGAAGGAGAAGACAAGCCCUCACCAGACACCAAAUCUGCUGAUGCUUUGAUCUUGGACUUCCCAGCCUCCAGAACUGCUCACACCCCUUUAUUAACUGAAGCUGACUUAACCCGAACUAUCUGAAGCUGACUCAACCCAAACUUUCUGAGAUCACACGAAAAUGUUUUCCUUCUGAUCUCAACUUUUCUCCUUAUCGUGGGGCAUGGAAAGGAGGAGAUCGCAGCAGGGAAGUUUUUGUUCUUGUUCACAUGCUAACAAUGGACAAAAUGAAAAGAACUUUUAUGAUCUGGCUCCAAUUAUACUUUCAAGGUUCAAGUCUUCCCAUCCGACUAUCGAUUUACGGCAAUGGAUUGGUCAAGGAAGGAUAAAGAAACUUGGAAAGAACUAUCAUGAUACCUGCCCUGAGAAGCUGAAAUUUGGUUUAACUUUGUGUUGUUUACUGUUUGGUUCUAUAAAAGCUAAGUUUAUAAAAUAUUGUAUGACAGGUGAAUUUAAAUGUUACUAACCAUCUUGGAUGUCCUGCUCUUCUGCUGUACAGCAAUAAAGUCUCUCUAAAUGCAA